rnacentral:rRNA from 1 species
CUACGGGACGCACCAGCGGGGAAUAUUGCACAAUGGAGGAAACUCUGAUGCAGCAACGCCGCGUGGAGGAUGACACUUUUCGGAGCGUAAACUCCUUUUAUAUAGGAAGAAGAUGACGGUACUAUAUGAAUAAGCGCCGGCUAACUCCGUGCCAGCAGCCGCGGUAAUACGGAGGGCGCAAGCGUUACUCGGAAUCACUGGGCAUAAAGAGCGUGUAGGCGGAUUAAAAAGUCAGAAGUGAAAUCCUAUAGCUUAACUAUAGAACUGCUUCUGAAACUCUUAAUCUAGAAUAUGGGAGAGGUAGAUGGAAUUUCUGGUGUAGGGGUAAAAUCCGUAGAGAUCAGAAGGAAUACCGAUUGCGAAGGCGAUCUACUAGAACAUUAUUGACGCUGAGACGCGAAAGCGUGGGGAGCAAACAGGAUUAGAUACCCCUGUAGUC